GAUGAACGCUGGCGGCGUGCCUAAUACAUGCAAGUCGAGCGAACGGACGAGAAGCUUGCUUCUCUGAUGUUAGCGGCGGACGGGUGAGUAACACGUGGAUAACCUACCUAUAAGACUGGGAUAACUUCGGGAAACCGUAGCUAAUACCGGAUAAUAUUUUGAACCGCAUGGUUCAAAAGUGAAAGACGGUUUUGCUGUCACUUAUAGAUGGAUCCGCGCCGCAUUAGCUAGUUGGUAAGGUAACGGCUUACCAAGGCAACGAUGCAUAGCCGACCUGAGAGGGUGAUCGGCCACACUGGAACUGAGACACGGUCCAGACUCCUACGGGAGGCAGCAGUAGGGAAUCUUCCGCAAUGGGCGAAAGCCUGACGGAGCAACGCCGCGUGAGUGAUGAAGGUCUUCGGAUCGUAAAACUCUGUUAUUAGGGAAGAACAAAUGUGUAAGUAACUAUGCACGUCUUGACGGUACCUAAUCAGAAAGCCACGGCUAACUACGUG
rnacentral:rRNA from 1 species